GAAAGCGUAAUAGCUCACUGGUCGAGUCGGCCCGCGCGGAAGAUUCACCGGGGCUUAAGCCGCAUGCCGAAGCUGCGGAGGCCGCAAGGCCUGGUAGGGGAGCGUUCCGUACACCGUCGAAGGUUCACCGUGAGGUGGGCUGGAGGUAUCGGAAGUGCGAAUGCUGACAUAAGUAACGAUCAUGCGGGUGAAAACCCCGCACGCCGAAUGCCCAAGGGUUCCUGCGCAACGGCAAUCGGCGCAGGGUGAGUCGGCCCCUAAGGCGAGGCCGAAAGGCGUAGUCGAUGGGAAACCGGUUAACAAUCCGGUACUGACGCGAACUGCGAUGGGGGGACGGAGAAGGCUAAACCAGCCGGCGAUUGGUAGUGCCGGUUCAAGCACGUAGACAGGCCGAUCAGGCAAAUCCGAUCGGUCAAUGCCGAGAUGCGACGACGAGCCCAUUAGGGCGAAGUGGUCCAUGCCCAGCUCCCGGGAAAAGCCUCUAAGCCAUAGGUUCGCGCCACCCGUACCCCAAACCGACACAGGUGGGCGAGGAGAGCAUCCUCAGGCGCUGGAGAGAACUCGGGUGAAGGAACUCGGCAAACUAGCACCGUAACUUCGGGAGAAGGUGCGCCCGCGGUAGGUGAAGGCCCUCGCGGCCGGAGCCGAAGCGGGCCGCAGUGACCAGGUGGCUGCGACUGUUUACUAAAAACACAGCACUCUGCCAACACGAAAGUGGACGUAUAGGGUGUGACGCCUGCCCGGUGCCGGAAGGUUAAGUGAUGGGGUCAGCGCAAGCGAAGCUCUUGAUCGAAGCCCCGGUAAACGGCGGCCGUAACUAUAACGGUCCUAAGGUAGCGAAAUUCCUUGUCGGGUAAGUUCCGACCUGCACGAAUGGCGUAACGAUAGCCACACUGUCUCCACCCGAGACUCCGUGAAAUUGAAAUCGCUGUGAAGAUGCAGCGUACCCGCGGCAAGACGGAAAGACCCCGUGAACCUUUACUACAGCUUUGCACUGGACUUUGCGCUUUCUUGUGUAGGAUAGGUGGGAGGCUUGGAAGCCGGGACGCCAGUUCCGGUGGAGCCAACCUUGAAAUACCACCCUGGAACGCUCGAGGUUCUAACCUCGGACCCUUAUCGGGUUCAGGGACCGUGCAUGGUGGGUAGUUUGACUGGGGCGGUCUCCUCCCAAAGAGUAACGGAGGAGCACGAAGGUACCCUCAGCGCGGUCGGAAAUCGCGCACUGAGUGCAAAGGCAAAAGGGUGCUUGACUGCGAGACGGACAGGUCGAGCAGGUGCGAAAGCAGGUCUUAGUGAUCCGGUGGUUCCGUAUGGAAGGGCCAUCGCUCAACGGAUAAAAGGUACUCCGGGGAUAACAGGCUGAUACCGCCCAAGAGUCCAUAUCGACGGCGGUGUUUGGCACCUCGAUGUCGGCUCAUCACAUCCUGGGGCUGUAGUCGGUCCCAAGGGUAUGGCUGUUCGCCAUUUAAAGUGGUACGCGAGCUGGGUUUAGAACGUCGUGAGACAGUUCGGUCCCUAUCUGCCGCGGGCGUUGGAGAUUUGCGGGGCGCUGUUCCUAGUACGAGAGGACCGGAAUGGACAGACCUCUGGUGCACCGGUUGUCACGCCAGUGGCAUGGCCGGGUAGCCACGUCCGGACGGGAUAACCGCUGAAAGCAUCUAAGCGGGAAGCCCCCCCCAAGAUGAGCGCUCCCGAGUCCUUGAGACUCCUCAAGGUCCGUGGAAGACCACCACGUGGAUAGGCGUGGCGGUGGACGCGCGGUAACGCGUGCAGCCGACCCGUACUAAUCGACCGUGCGGCUUGAUC
rnacentral:rRNA from 1 species